rnacentral:snRNA from 1 species
GUGUUACUUCGCUAGCACAUAUACUAAAAUUGGAACGACACGGAGAAGAUUAGCACAGCCCCUGCGCAAGGAUGACUACUACUGAAAGUACUAUACCAUUUCA